rnacentral:rRNA from 1 species
ACCGGCGCACGGGUGCGUAACGCGUAUACAUCUACCUUUUGCUGAAGAAUAGCCCAGAGAAAUUUGGAUUAAUGCUUCAUAGUGCCUCAUGGUUAAAGGUUACGGCAAAAGAUGAGUAUGCGUCCUAUUAGUUUGUUGGCGUGGUAACGGCACACCAAGACUACGAUAGGUAGGGGCCCUGAGAGGGGGAUCCCCCACACUGGUACUGAGACACGGACCAGACUCCUACGGGAGGCAGCAGUGAGGAAUAUUGGACAAUGGAGGCAACUCUGAUCCAGCCAUGCCGCGUGCAGGAUGACUGCCUAUGGGUUGUAAACUGCUUUUAUACAGGAAGAAACACUCCCUCGAGAAGGGAGCUUGACGGUACUGUAAGAAUAAGGAUCGGCUAACUCCGUGCCAGCAGCCGCGGUAAUACGGAGGAUCCAAGCGUUAUCCGGAAUCAUUGGGUUUAAAGGGUCCGUAGGUGGAUAAUUAAGUCAGAGGUGAAAGUUUGCAGCUCAACUGUAAAAUUGCCUUUGAUACUGGUUAUCUUGAGUUAUUAUGAAGUAGUUAGAAUAUGUAGUGUAGCGGUGAAAUGCAUAGAUAUUACAUAGAUACCAAUUGCGAAGGCAGAUUACUAAUUAUAUACUGACACUGAAUGACGAAGCGUAGGUAGCGACCGCAUUAGAUACCCGGUUAGUCUACGCCG